rnacentral:lncRNA from 1 species
UUGUAUCACUCGAGUGUAUGCAUGUGUUCUUAUCAGGGUCGCGCAUGCUUCCUGCUUUAAGGAACCGUUUGUUGGCUUUUGGCUUGCAUGAUGAUUUCUGUUUAUGCUAGCCUAUUUGGAAUGCCUUCCCGUGGUUUAUCCAUCCCAAAUGACGCUCACCGGCAGCAAACAGAUGGCGCCCCUUAUGCUCCAUCCCCUGCCCCUCCUCUCUGUGGCUCGGAUUUCCUGAUUUCCUUUAGCCUGAUUUCCUGAUUUCUCUCUCAUGCCCAAAGCUUUGGGGAGAUGACUAAGGGUGAGAUUAACGAGAACUUUGCCUGGAGCAUUAUUUAUGCGCAUCUACUAUGGCACCAAAAUGUGAGAAAGGGUUGCAUGAAUUCUCACUUUAUUUGAUAUAUAUUUAGAAUUGAUGCUAGUGAACAUAAUUGAUGCUAUCUAGUAUGAAAGAAAAAUUAUAAAAUGGAUUUCCUUUGGCCAAACUUGACAAGUUUCACACCUUCUUCAUCUCUACCAAAAGCUACUGAACCUCAGCUCAUCCAAUAAUCUCAUUCUAGGGAGUGUUUGAUCCUUAGUCCAAUGUCCCCAUUGACCUGGUGCAGGUCUGAUCUAGGAACUUAAUAGGAAAAAACUCUAAGUAAACUCUAUACGGCCCAGUCGUUUCAGAUAAGCCUUCGACCGACUGAGAACGGUCGUCCCUUGCGAGAUUUGCAAUGAACGACGGAAUGUAAAAACUGAAACUGAGACCAGUAAGCACAUAGCUACGACUGCAAAAAAGCUUAGGUCAACAGCAGUUAUAUCAUUUCAGUAAGUAAGAAAUGUUUCACAAUAUCACAUAAUUCGAACAAAAACAUUUCAGUAAGUAAGAAAUUUGGGUGGCUUAAACAGUCAUUUAAUGAGAAAAAGAUGUGGCUCAAAACGUUUAGAUGAAAGAAAAAUUAAACUCCAUCUAACGGCCAGAGGACGAAUAUGCUAUUCUACCACAAAAAAAUAUUUAUCUUUUGUUUAUGGUUCCUUAACAAUCUUACAUAUGUAAAAUCGAAGUCGGUGUUUUGGUGUUGAUAACAUCAUUGAUCGCUGUUACAACUGAAUGUGCGCGAAUUAUACUGUGAAGAGUGACACAACACCUCCAAACUUCAAGAACAACAGGGAUAAUUAAACAGAAGCGUACGCAAAUAGGAAAACUUUUUUGGAAGUGAUAUCACUUUAGCAACCGAGCCGCCAGGUUUGAGAAUAAGGUGGGAUCUCUGAAUGUAGUGGCUGGUGAAUCACUGAUCAAAGAGCAGAUUUUUGAGAGAUUCUUCAUCGAUCUAGUGGCCGGUGAAUCACUGAUCAAAGAGCAAUUUUUACUACCAGCACAUUGGGCCCUGCAAGUCGACACCGACAAAAAUACGCCGUUGAGAAGAGUGUACCAUGUGAGACCUCGGUCAGGUUAGGACGGCCCGGGACGUGACUUCAUCAUUGGAUACCAGAAAUACCAGAGGAUGUAGAACACAGCCGGAGCUCUGCAAGUGAAAAGGGCAAUGAUCCAUUGGCAACCCUGCCUCGCCUCUUUUGGGAGAUUCCAACCGCGGAGAGGCGUCUGCUCGAGCCUCGGUGUCGUAACGGUGACCUAGUUGAAGGGACGGUUUCUUGCGAUGUCAGCAACCUAGC